UACCUGCAGCUCGAGUGGUAACCGCUAUUAUUGGGCCUAAAGCGUCCGUAGCCGGUUUGGUAAAUAUCUGGGUAAAUCGUGAGGCUUAACUUCACGAAUUUCGGAUAGACUGCCAGACUUGGGAUCGGGGGAGGUCAGAGGUACUCCAGGGGUAGCGGUGAAAUGUUGUAAUCCUUGGAGGACCACCGGUAGCGAAGGCGUCUGACUAGAACGAGUCCGACGGUGAGGGACGAAGCCCUGGGGCGCAAACCGGAUUAGAUACCCGGGUAGUCCAGGGUGUAAACGAUGUGGGCUUUGUAUUGGAGGUCCCACGUGGGCGUCCAGUGCAGAAGAGAAGUUGUUAAGCCCACCGCCUGGGAAGUACGGUCGCAAGGCUGAAACUUAAAGGAAUUGACGGGGAGCACAGCAACGGGAGGAGCGUGCGGUUU
rnacentral:rRNA from 1 species